UACAGAGGUCCCAAGCGUUGUUCGGAAUCACUGGGCUUAAAGGGCGCGUAGGCGGGCUGCCAAGUCAGGGGUGAAAGCCCACGGCUCAACCGUGGAAGUGCCUUUGAUACUGGCGGUCUCGAGGGAAGUAGGGGCGUGCGGAACUUCCGGUGGAGCGGUGAAAUGCGUAGAUAUCGGAAGGAACACCGGUGGCGAAAGCGGCGCGCUGGACUUCUACUGACGCUGAGGCGCGAAAGCCAGGGGAGCAAACGGG
rnacentral:rRNA from 1 species